rnacentral:rRNA from 1 species
GGUUAAGUGAAUAAGCGUACACGGUGGAUGCCUAGGCAGUCAGAGGCGAUGAAGGGCGUGCUAAUCUGCGAAAAGCGUCGGGAAGGUGAUAUGAACCGUAAUAGCCGACGAUACCCGAAUGGGGAAACCCGAUGUAAUUUAUUACAUCAUCAUAUUCAUGAAUAAAUAGUGAUAUGAAGCGAACCGAGGGAACUGAAACAUCUAAGUACCUCGAGGAAAAGAAAUCAAUUGAGAUUCCCUUAGUAGUGGCGAGCGAACUGGAGAAGAGCCCAGAACCAUAAUCAUCUUACGAAUUAGUAGAAUCGUCUGGAAAGACGAACAAUAAAGGGUGAUAGUCCCGUAUAUAAAAAUUCGGAAGGAGUGGGUUCUAAAGAGUAGGGCGGGACACGUGAUAUCCUGUCUGAAGAUGGGGGGACCAUCCUCCAAGGCUAAAUACUACUGACUGACCGAUAGUGAACUAGUACCGUGAGGGAAAGGUGAAAAGAACCCCGGUGAGGGGAGUGAAAGAGAACCUGAAACCGUGUACGUACAAGCAGUGGAAGCAUUUUUUUAGUGUGACCGCGUACCUUUUGUAUAAUGGGUCAGCGACUUGUAUUUUGUAGCAAGGUUAACCGUAUAGGGGAGCCGUAGGGAAACCGAGUCUUAAUUGGGCGUUAGUUGCAGGAUACAGACCCGAAACCCGGUGAUCUAGCCACGGGCAGGUUGAAAGUUGGGUAACACUAACUGAAGGACCGAACCGACUAAUGUUGAAAAAUUAGCGGAUGACCUAUGGUUAGGGGUGAAAGGCCAAUCAAACCGGGAGAUAGCUGGUUCUCCCCGAAAGCUAUUUAGGUAGCGCCUUAUGAGUUCAUCUCCGGGGGUAGAGCACUGUUUUGGUCAGGGGGCCACCCCGGCUUACCAAGCCAAUGCAAACUCCGAAUACCGGAGAAUGUAAUCAUGGGAGACACACGGCGGGUGCUAACGUCCGUCGUGAAGAGGGAAACAACCCAGACCGCCAGCUAAGGUCCCAAAGUCAUGAUUAAGUGGGAAACGAUGUGAGAAGGCAUAGACAGCCAGGAUGUUGGCUUAGAAGCAGCCAUCAUUUAAAGAAAGCGUAACAGCUCACUGGUCGAGUCAGCUUGCGCGGAAGAUGUAACGGGGCUAAAUCAUGCACCGAAGCUGCGGCAUCGGACGCAUACUUAAAAUAGUUAAAUUAAUUUAACUAUUUUAAGUAUGCGUCCGAUGGGUAGGGGAGCGUUCUGUAAGUCGUUGAAGGUAUAUCGUGAGAGAUACUGGAGAUAUCAGAAGUGCGAAUGCUGACAUAAGUAACGAUAAAGCGGGUGAAAUGCCCGCUCGCCGAAAGACUAAGGGUUCCUGCCCAACGUUAAUCGAGGCAGGGUGAGUCGACACCUAAGGCGAGGCCGAAAGGCGUAGUCGAUGGACAACAGGUUAAUAUUCCUGUACUAGUUAUGACUGCCAAGGGGGGACGGAGAAGGCUAUAUUGGCCGGGGGACGGUUGUCCCGGUUUAAGCGUGUAGGUUUGAACUUUAGGCAAAUCCUGAGUUCAGUAAGAUUGAGACGUUAUGACGAGACACUAAGGUGUUGAAGUAAUAAAUGCCAUGCUUCCAGGAAAAGCCUCUAAGCAUCAGGUCAUAGUUAAUCGUACCCCAAACCGACACAGGUGGUCAGGUAGAGCAUACCUAGGCGCUUGAGAGAACCCGGGUGAAGGAACUAGGCAAAAUGGUGCCGUAACUUCGGGAGAAGGCACGCUGGCUUGCAGGUGAAACGACAAGCUCGAGGAGCUAAAGCCAGCCGAAGAUACCAGCUAGCUGCAACUGUUUAUUAAAAACACAGCACUGUGCAAACACGUAAGUGGACGUAUACGGUGUGACGCCUGCCCGGUGCCGGAAGGUUAAUUGAUGGGGUUAUUCGAAAGAAAAAGCUCUUGAUCGAAGCCCCGGUAAACGGCGGCCGUAACUAUAACGGUCCUAAGGUAGCGAAAUUCCUUGUCGGGUAAGUUCCGACCUGCACGAAUGGCGUAAUGAUGGCUAGGCUGUCUCCACCCGGGACUUAGUGAAAUUGAAUUCGCUGUGAAGAUGCAGUGUACCCACGGCAAGACGGAAAGACCCCGUGAACCUUUACUAUAGCUUGACACUGAAUACUGAGCUCUAAUGUGUAGGAUAGGUGGGAGGCUAUGAAGCAUAGAUGCUAGUUUAUGCAGAGCCAUCCUUGAAAUACCACCCUUUAAAGUUUGCUAUUCUCACCCAACGCCGUUAACCGGCGUGGAGACAGUGUCUGGUGGGUAGUUUGACUGGGGCGGUCUCCUCCUAAAGAGUAACGGAGGAGCACAAAGGUCAGCUAAUCACGGUCGGAAAUCGUGAGGUUAGUGCAAUGGCAUAAGCUGGCUUGACUGUGAGAGUGACGAUUCGAACAGGUGCGAAAGCAGGUCAUAAUGAUCCGGUGGUUCUGAAUGGAAGGGCCAUCGCUCAACGAAUAAAAGGUACUCCGGGGAUAACAGGCUGAUACCGCCCAAGAGUUCAUAUCGACGGCGGUGUUUGGCACCUCGAUGUCGGCUCAUCACAUCCCGGGGCUGAAGCAGGUCCCAAGGGUACGGUUGUUCGCCGUUUAAAGUGGUACGCGAGCUGGGUUUAGAACGUCGUGAGACAGUUCGGUCCCUAUCUGCCGUGGGCGUUGGAAGAUUGAGAGGGGUUGCUCCUAGUACGAGAGGACCGGAGUGAACGUACCACUGGUGUUCGGAUUGUCAUGCCAAUGGCAUUGUCCGGUAGCUAAGUACGGAAAAGAUAAGCGCUGAAAGCAUCUAAGCGCGAAACUUGCCUCAAGAUGAGUCUUCCCUGACCCUCCAAGGGUCCUAAAGGAACGUUGAAGAUAACGACGUUGAUAGGCCGGAUGUGUAAGCGUAGCGAUGCGUUGAGCUAACCGGUACUAAUGAUCCGUGAGGCUUAACCUU